GACGAACGCUGGCGGCGUGCCUAACACAUGCAAGUGGAGCGACGAACCGGGCUUCGGCCCGGGGCAAAGCCGCGAACGGGUGAGUAACACGUGGGUAACCUGCCCUGAUGAUCGGGACAACCCGAGGAAACUCGGGCUAAUACCGAAUGUGCCCUCCGGCCAUAAGGCCACUGGGGAAAGGAAGCUUCGGCCUCCGCAUCGGGAUGGGCCCGCGGCCCAUUAGCUUGUUGGUGAGGUAACGGCUCACCAAGGCAAUGAUGGGUAGCUGGUCUGAGAGGACGAUCAGCCACACUGGGACUGAGACACGGGCCCAGACUCCUACGGGAGGCAGCAGUGGGGAAUCUUGCGCAAUGCGCGAAAGCGUGACGCAGCAACGCCG
rnacentral:rRNA from 1 species